rnacentral:rRNA from 1 species
CAGUAGCCGCGGUAAUACAGAGGGUGCGAGCGUUAAUCGGAUUUACUGGGCGUAAAGCGUGCGUAGGCGGCUUCUUAAGUCGGAUGUAAAAUCCCUGAGCUUAACUUAGGAAUUGCAUUCGAUACUGGGAAGCUAGAGUAUGGGAGAGGAUGGUAGAAUUCCAGGUGUAGCGGUGAAAUGCGUAGAGAUCUGGAGGAAUACCGAUGGCGAAGGCAGCCAUCUGGCCUAAUACUGACGCUGAGGUACGAAAGCAUGGGGAGCAAACAGGAUUAGAUACCCCUGUAGUCCCUGUCUCUUAUAC